UCACUUACCUAGACGGGGUCUAUGAGUCAUUGUGUAGGCUCAUGGCCUAGGCUGCUGACUUCCAUUGCACAUUGCGGAGGGCAGCUGCCUAAGAUCAUCCAAAGAAGGUAAGUCCACGUCAUAAUUUGUGAUAGUAGGGGCCUACGUUCACGCAACCCCUGU